UACAGAGGAGCCAAGCGUUGUCCGGAUUGACUGGGCGUAAAGCGCACGCAGGCGGUCGCGCGCGUGGGGUGUGAAAUCUGGCCGCUUAACGGCCAGGCGCCAUCCCAUACGGCGCGACUGGAGUGAUGCAGAGGUCGGUGGAAUUGCCGGUGUAGUGGUGAAAUGCGUAGAGAUCGGCAGGAACACCCCAGGGGGGAAACCAGCCGACUGGGCAUCUACUGACGCUGAGGUGCGAGAGCGUGGGGGAGCGAACCGG
rnacentral:rRNA from 1 species